rnacentral:misc_RNA from 1 species
AACCUUAUGGACCUGCGGGCGUAUACCUGCGGAGGGAUCAUUAAUAAAUGUUACUUCGGUAACUUAAUUAAUCCCUAACACCUGUGCAUCUUGUCGCUUCGGCGUCAUUUUAUAAACAUCAGUGUAAUGAAUGUAACGUAUUAUAACAAAUACAACUUUCAACAAUGGAUCU